rnacentral:rRNA from 1 species
ACUCCUACGGGAGGCAGCAGUGGGAAUAUUGGACAAUGGGGGCAACCCGUAGCAUCCAGCCAUGCCGCGUGUAUGAAGAAGGAGCCCUUCGGGUUGUAAAAGUACUUUCAGUGGUGAGGAAGGUUGCGUGGUUAAUACCACGUAAUUUGACGUUAGCCACAGAAGAAGCACCGGCUAACUCCGUGCCAGCAGCCGCGGUAAUACGGAGGGUGCAAGCGUUAAUCGGAAUUACUGGGCGUAAAGCGCAUGCAGGCGGUUAAUUAAGCCAGAUGUGAAAGCCC